rnacentral:rRNA from 1 species
UACGUAGGGUGCGAGCGUUACUCGGAAUUACUGGGCGUAAAGCGUGCGUAGGCGGUUCUCCAAGUCCGUUGUGAAAGCCCCGGGCUCAACCUGGGAGUGGCAGUGGAAACUAGGGGACUGGAAUCUGGCAGAGGGGGGUGGAAUGCCGCGUGUAGCAGUGAAAUGCGUAGAGAUGCGGCGGAACACCGAUGGCGAAGGCAGCCCCCUGGGCUGAGAUUGACGCUCAGGCACGAAAGCGUGGGGAGCAAACAGG